rnacentral:rRNA from 1 species
AGAUGGCGACCGGCGCACGGGUGAGUAACACGUAUCCAACCUGCCGAUAACUCGGGGAUAGCCUUUCGAAAGAAAGAUUAAUACCCGAUGGCAUAAUAGAACCGCAUGGUUUGAUUAUUAAAGAAUUUCGGUUAUCGAUGGGGAUGCGUUCCAUUAGGCAGUUGGUGGGGUAACGGCCCACCAAACCUUCGAUGGAUAGGGGCUCUGAGAGGAAGGUCCCCCACAUUGGAACUGAGACACGGUCCAA